rnacentral:rRNA from 1 species
AUACGGAGGGUGCAAGCGUUAUUCGGAAUCACUGGGCGUAAAGGUCGCGUAGGCGGGUUGGCAAGUCAGAUGUGAAAUCCUACAGCUUAACUGUAGAACUGCAUUUGAAACUGCUAACCUAGAGAAUGGGAGGGGGAGAUGGAAUUAGUGGUGUAGGGGUAAAAUCCGUAGAUAUCACUAGGAAUACCGAAAGCGAAGGCGAUCUCCUGGAACAUAACUGACGCUAAGGCGUGAAAGCGUGGGGAGCAAACAGGAUUAGAAACCCUAGUAGUCC